CAGGGAGACAACAAAAUGUUUAAUAUUAUUUUGUCACCUUAGGUCGAUCGGUAUCUCACGUUCUUAAUUUAUUAAGAAUUUCAUUUUCUAAGUUUUUCUAGGUCACACCCAUUAUUUUCCUGGGCCAUUAGCUCAGGUGGUUAGAGCGCACCCCUGAUAAGGGUGAGGUCCCUGGUUCAAGUCCAGGAUGGCCCAUAUCUCUAUGUUGGGGGUAUAGCUCAGUUGGUAGAGCGCCUGCUUUGCAAGCAGGAUGUCAGCGGUUCGAGUCCGCUUACCUCCACUGAUUACCACCUCUUCCAUAAUUUGUAUUCAGGGAAUUUUUGAGUUGUGAUCAAAUUCUGAACGAGUCUAGCUUCCUAAUGCAACUAUUAAGAUGCUGGAUUCAUUGAAUCAAUUUCAUUGUUUUCAGAGAACCUUGACAACUGCAUAGAUUAUUUUUAAAGACAAUAAGCAUCUUUAACGAUGCAGAUUUAUUAUUUGUGCAAAUGCAUUAAUAACAAUUCUAUUAAGCUGAUGCUUCAAUUUUGAAGUUAUU
rnacentral:tRNA from 1 species